rnacentral:rRNA from 1 species
UACGAGGGUGGCAAAUGUUGUUCGGAAUCACUGGGCGUAAAGGGAGCGUAGGCGGGUUCUUAAGUAAGGUGUUUAAUCCCGGGGCCCAACCCCGGACCGGCACUUUAAACUGGGAAUCUUGAAUAGUGGAGAGGUCGGUGGAAUUGGGGGUGUAGCGGUGGAAUGCGUAGAGAUCCCCAAGAACACCAGUUGCGAAGGCGGCCGACUGGACACAUAUUGACGCUGAGGCUCGAAAGCAUGGGGAGCAAACAGG